rnacentral:rRNA from 1 species
GACGAACCGUGCGAACGUUGUUCGGAAUCACUGGGCUUAAAGGGCGCGUAGGCGGGCCUUCUUGUCCGGGGUGAAACCUUUCGGCUUAACCGGAAACGUGCCCCGGAAACGGGAGGCCUUGAGGGGGUAGGGGCAGCCGGAACUUCGGUGGAGCGGUGAAAUGCGUUGAUAUCGGAAGGAACGCCGGUGGCGAAAGCGGGCUGCUGG